GACGAACGACUGGCGGCGUGCUUAACAACAUGCAAGUCGAACGAGGAGGGAUGAGAAGCUUGCUUCUUUAUCAAUUCGAGUGGCAAACGGGUGAGUAACGCGUAAGCAACCUGCCCUUCAAGAGUGGGACAACAGACUGGAACGGCUAGCUAAUACCGAAUACCGUCUUUUGUCGCAUGGCAGAGAGAGAAGGAGCUCUUCGGAGCUUUCGCUGAAGGACGGGGCUUUGCGUCUUGGAUUAGCUACGUUGGAGGGGUAACGGCCCACCAAGGGCGACCGGAUUCAGUAGCCGGUACUGAGAGGUAGUGAACGGCCACAGUUCGGGACUGAGACGACGGCCCAG
rnacentral:rRNA from 1 species